UACGGGGGUGGCAAGCGUUGUUCGGAAUUACUGGGCGUAAAGGGCGCGUAGGCGGCCCCAUAGGUCGCGGGUGAAAGCCACCGGCUCAACCGGUGAAGGGCCUGCGAAACCCUGGGGCUAGAGUGCCGGAGGGGAAGGUGGAAUUCCCGGUGUAGCAGUGAAAUGCGUAGAUAUCGGGAGGAACACCAGUGGCGAAGGCGGCCUUCUGGACGGCGACUGACGCUGAGGCGCGAAAGCCAGGGGAGCAAACGGG
rnacentral:rRNA from 1 species